UGCCAGACUCCUACGGGAGGCAGCAGUAGGGAAUCUUCGGCAAUGGGGGCAACCCUGACCGAGCAACGCCGCGUGAGUGAAGAAGGUUUUCGGAUCGUAAAACUCUGUUGUUAGAGAAGAACGUUAAGUAGAGUGGAAAGUUACUUAAGUGACGGUAUCUAACCAGAAAGGGACGGCUAACUACGUGCCAGCAGCCGCGGUAAUACGUAGGUCCCGAGCGUUGUCCGGAUUUAUUGGGUUUAAAGGGUGCGUAGACGGGAUGCCAAGUCAGCGGUAAAAAUGCGGUGCUCAACGCCGUCGAGCCGUUGAAACUGGCGUUCUUGAGUGGGCGAGAAGUAUGCGGAAUGCGUGGUGUAGCGGUGAAAUGCAUAGAUAUCACGCAGAACUCCGAUUGCGAAGGCAGCAUACCGGCGCCCUACUGACGCUGAGGCACGAAAGCGUGGGUAUCGAACAGGAUUAGAUACCCUAGUA
rnacentral:rRNA from 1 species